rnacentral:sRNA from 1 species
UGAUGAACGUGUUUUUAUUUAAAAUUGU